rnacentral:tRNA from 1 species
GGAGAGUUGCUCGAACGGAUAAGAGGCGAGUUUGCUAAACUCUGGCACACUAUUUUUAGUGUAAUAGGUUCAACCCCUAUACUCUCU